rnacentral:rRNA from 1 species
CAUAAAGUUGUUCUCAGUUCGGAUUGUAGUCUGCAACUCGACUAUAUGAAGCUGGAAUCGCUAGUAAUCGUAGAUCAGCAUGCUACGGUGAAUACGUUCCCGGGUCUUGUACACACCGCCCGUCACACCACGAGAGUUUGUAACACCCGAAGCCGGUGGAGUAACCAUUUGGAGCUAGCCGUCGAAGGUGGGACAAAUGAUUGGGGUGAAGUCGUAACAAGGUAGCCGUAUCGGAAGGUGCGGCUGGAUCACCUCCUUUCUAAGGA